rnacentral:lncRNA from 1 species
ACUCUUUUUCUUUUUCACAUGUCUUGGUAUUUGAACUACUAUGUAGUAAGUUUUUUCACAGGUCUUGGUGUUUGAACUACUAUAUAGUAAGUUUUUGCGGAGUGGAUUGUGUUCGUUGUUCAAAACAAGCAGUUCUCGUGUUGACAAGUGCGAUUUGAGUCAAAUUUAGUCGUAUAGAUAACUGUAGUCAUGUAUAGUUCC